GACGAACGCUGGCGGCGUGCUUAACACAUGCAAGUCGAACGGAAAGGCCUGCUUUCCCUUGUGGAUUGCGGGUACUCGAGUGGCGAACGGGUGAGUAACACGUGAGUGAUCUGCCCCCAACUUGGGUAUAAGCCUGGGAAACUGGGUCUAAUACCCGAUAGGACUGCAGGGUGGUGCCUGUGGUGGAAAACGAUUUUCUAGUGGUUGGGGAUGAGCUCGCGGCCUAUCAGCUUGUUGGUGGGGUAAUGGCCUACCAAGGCGGCGACGGGUAGCCGGCCUAAGAGGGUGGACGGCCACAUUGGGACUGAGAUACGGCCCAGACUCCUACGGGAGGCAGCAGUGGGGAAUAUUGCACAAUGGGCGGAAGCCUGAUGCAGCGACGCCGCGUGGGGGAUGACGGCCUUCGGGUUGUAAACUCCUUUCGACCGCGAGGAAGCCACCUGGUUGGAAGGGUGGUGACGGUAGUGGUAGAAGAAGCACCGGCUAACUACGUG
rnacentral:rRNA from 1 species